rnacentral:rRNA from 1 species
ACGAACGCUGGCGGCGUGGAUAAGACAAGAAAGUCGAACGGGAUUUUUUCCUGUAGCAAUACAGGAAAAAGUCUAGUGGCGAACGGGUGCGUAACACGUGAGCAACCUGCCGUGAAGUGGGGGAUAGCUCGCCGAAAGGCGAAUUAAUACCGCAUGUGGCCAAGGAAGACAUCUUCCUGACGCCAAAGCCGGGGUAACCUGGCGCUUCUCGAGGGGCUCGCGGCCUAUCAGCUUGUUGGUGAGGUAACGGCUCACCAAGGCUAUGACGGGUAGCUGGUCUGAGAGGACGACCAGCCACACUGGAACUGAGACACGGUCCAGACACCUACGGGUGGCAGCAGUCGAGAAUUUUUCACAAUGGGGGAAACCCUGAUUUUUUUGAUGCCGCGUGGAGGAUGAAGGUUUUCGGAUUGUAAACUCCUGUCAUUAGAGAACAAGGCACAUGGUUUAACUGGCCGUGUGUUGAUAGUAUCUGAAGAGGAAGGGACGGCUAACUCUGUGCCAGCAGCCGCGGUAAUACAGAGGUCUCAAGCGUUGUUCGGGUUCAUUGGGCGUAAAGGGUGCGUAGGUGGCGAGGUAAGUCGGAUGUGAAAUCUCCAAGCUCAACUUGGAAACUGCAUUCGAUACUGCUUUGCUAGAGGAUUGUAGAGGGCAUUGGGAAUUCACGGUGUAGCAGUGAAAUGCGUAGAUAUCGUGAGGAAGACCAGUUGGCGAAGGGCGAAUGCCUGGGCAAUUCCUGACACUGAGGCACCGAGCCAGGGGAGCAACGGGAUAGAUACCCCGGUAGUCCUGGCAGUAAACGGUGCACGUUUGGUGUGGGAGGAUUCGACCCCUCCCGUGCCGGAGCUAACGCGUUAAACGUGCCGCCUGGGGAGUACGGUCGCAAGAUUAAAACUCAAAGAAAUUGACGGGGACCCGCACAAGCGGUGGAGUAUGUGGCUUAAUUCGAUGCAACGCGAAGAACCUUACCUGGCCUUGACAUGCAUCUCUAAUCCGGUGAAAGCCGGUGAGUGUAGCAAUACACAAUUUGCACAGGUGCUGCAUGGCUGUCGUCAGCUCGUGUCGUGAGAUGUUGGGUUAAGUCCCGCAACGAGCGCAACCCCUGUGAACUGUUGCCAUGGAGACGUGAGUCUCCGGCACUCUGUUCAGACUGCCCUGUUCAACGGGGAGGAAGGUGGGGACGACGUCAAGUCAGUAUGGCCCUUACGGCCAGGGCUGCACACGUACUACAAUGUCCGACACAGAAGGAUCCGAGACCGCAAGGUGGAGGAAAUCACCAAAGUCGGGCCCAGUUCGGAUUGGAGGCUGCAACUCGCCUCCAUGAAGCCGGAAUCGCUAGUAAUGGCGCAUCAGCUACGGCGCCGUGAAUACGUUCCCGGGUCUUGUACACACCGCCCGUCACAUCAUGGGAGUCGUUUGUACCCGAAGUGCGCGCGCCAACCGCAAGGAGGCGCGCCCUAAGGUAUGAGCGGUAACUGGGAUGA